GAACUGAGUCUAGUUCCUUCGAUAUACGAUACAAUCUAGUAAUCAUGAUUUUUUUCUGUAUUGGUAUCAACACAGAAAAAAAAGAUUACUAGAUUGCAUUGUAUAUCGAAGAAACUAGACUCAGUUC